GUAGUUGGAUUUCGGGUGGGUUCUGCGGUCCGGCUUCGUGUCUGUGGUUGCUCGCGUCCCCUUCCUUGGGUGGAACCUGUGUGGCAUUAGGUUGUCGUGCAGGGGAUGCCCAUCAUUUACUGUGAAAAAAUUAGAGUGUUCAAAGCAGGCUUAUGCCGUUGAAUAUAUUAGCAUGGAAUAAUAAGAUAGGACCUUGGUACUAUUUUGUUGGUUUGCGCACCAAGGUAAUGAUUAAUAGGGACAGUUGGGGGUAUUCGUAUUCCAUUGUCAGAGGUGAAAUUCUUGGAUUUCUGGAAGACGAACUACUGCGAAAGCAUUUACCAAGGAUGUUUUCAUUAAUCAAGAACGAAAGUUAGGGGAUCGAAGAUGAUUAGAUACCAUCGUAGUCUUAACCAUAAACUAUGCCGACAAGGGAUUGGCGGAUUCUCGUUUUGUCUCCCUCAGCACCUUAUGAGAAAUCACAAGUCUUUGGGUUCCGGGGGGAAAUUAUGGUCA
rnacentral:rRNA from 1 species